rnacentral:rRNA from 1 species
UGAUCCAGCAUGCCGCGUGAGUGAUGAAGGCCUUAGGGUUGUAAAGCUCUUUUACCAGGGAUGAUAAUGACAGUACCUGGAGAAUAAGCUCCGGCUAACUCCGUGCCAGCAGCCGCGGUAAUACGGAGGGAGCUAGCGUUGUUCGGAAUUACUGGGCGUAAAGCG